rnacentral:rRNA from 1 species
UACGCAGGCGGCUCGUUAAGUCGGAUGUGAAAGCCCGGGGCUCAACCCCGGAACUGCAUUCGAAACUGGCGGGCUUGAGUACGGGAGAGGGAAGCGGAAUUCCUGGUGUAGAGGUGAAAUUCGUAGAUAUCAGGAGGAACACCCGUGGCGAAAGCGGCUUCCUGGCCCGAUACUGACGCUCAUGUACGAAAGCGUGGGGAGCAAACA